rnacentral:rRNA from 1 species
CCUACGGGCGGCAGCAGUGGGGAAUAUUGCACAAUGGGGGAAACCCUGAUGCAGCGACGCCGCGUGAGUGAAGAAGUAUUUCGGUAUGUAAAGCUCUAUCAGCAGGGAAGAAAAUGACGGUACCUGAUUCAGAAGCCCCGGCUAACUACGUGCCAGCAGCCGCGGUAAUACGUAGGGGGCAAGCGUUAUCCGGAUUUACUGGGUGUAAAGGGAGCGUAGACGGCAGCACAAGUCUGGAGUGAAAUGCCGGGGCUUAACCCCGGAACUGCUUUGGAAACUGUGCAGCUAGAGUGCAGGAGAGGUAAGUGGAAUUCCUAGUGUAGCGGUGAAAUGCGUAGAUAGUAGGAGGAACACCAGUGGCGAAGGCGGCUUACUGGACUGUAACUGACGUUGAGGCUCGAAAGCGUGGGGAGCAAACAGGAGUAGAUACCCGAGUAGUC